rnacentral:rRNA from 1 species
AUACGGAGGGUGCAAGCGUUAAUCGGAAUUACUGGGCGUAAAGCGCGCGUAGGCGGCUUGAUAAGUCGGAUGUGAAAUCCCCGGGCUUAACCUGGGAAUUGCAUUCGAUACUGUCAGGCUAGAGUGUGGUAGAGGGAAGUGGAAUUUCCGGUGUAGCGGUGAAAUGCGUAGAUAUCGGAAAGAACAUCAGUGGCGAAGGCGGCUUCCUGGAUCAACACUGACGCUGAGGUGCGAAAGCGUGGGGAGCAAACAGGAUUAGAAACCCUAGUAGUCC